rnacentral:rRNA from 1 species
GUCCUAGCCGUAAACGAUGGGUGCUAGGUGUGGGCGGAUAUCAACCCCGUCCGUGCCGAAGCUAACGCAUUAAGCACCCCGCCUGGGGAGUACGGCCGCAAGGCUAAAACUCAAAGGAAUUGACGGGGGCCCGCACAAGCGGCGGAGCAUGUGGCUUAAUUCGACGCAACGCGAAGAACCUUACCAGGGCUUGACAUGCGGGGUGAAACCGGUGAAAGCCGGUGCUCUUCGGAGCCCGCACAGGUGGUGCAUGGCUGUCGU